rnacentral:lncRNA from 1 species
UUGGCUUUUAUUUCUUUUUCUUUAAUGUUUUCUUUUACUGCUUUCCUUCAAUACUGUUGUAAUUAUGAGCAAUCAUUGUAAUCAUCACUUUAUGAACGUGCAAAUACGUGGAAAUUUAUUUCAUUCUAGUAAUUGCAUCCUCAACAUCAUAUUUCACUCGUGCCAAUUAGAAUACCAUAGCAACGGUUAUAAUGAGUGGUUGCGCCCUUCCGAUAUUAUCACCCCCUAAGUUUGGCAAAGACGUAUUUGUGGUAAAACUAGUCGAUCAGCGGUGCAGUUGACGGUUCCGUGCCUUUCCAUCUUGAGUUGUCCGCUCAAGGGUACCGGUCUAAUACCCAU